rnacentral:precursor_RNA from 12 species
UGCCCUGAAGAAGACAUGAAGCCUUUUCCCUCGGACGAAGUGCACUUAUUUACGUAGUUAUGAAUUUCCGUUAAGGGCACAUCGUUCGAGCAUAAGGGCUUUUAAUUCAUCGCAGGCAGGG